CGCAGGCGGCCAGGUCAGUCGAAUGUGAAAGCCCCCGGCUCAACUGGGGAAGGUCGUUCGAUACUGCUUGGCUCGAAGAUAGGAGAGGGAAGUGGAAUUUCAGGUGUAGUGGUGAAAUGCGUAGAUAUCUGAAGGAACACCAGUGGCGAAGGCGACUUUCUGGCCUAUUCUUGACGCUGAGGCGCGAAAGCUAGGGGAGCGAACG
rnacentral:rRNA from 1 species